rnacentral:rRNA from 1 species
GAGUUUGAUCAUGGCUCAGAUUGAACGCUGGCGGUAUGCUUAACACAUGCAAGUCGAACGGAAACGAUACUAGCUUGCUAGUAGGCGUCGAGUGGCGGACGGGUGAGUAACGCGUAGGAAUCUGCCUGAUAGUGGGGGAUAGCCCGGAGAAAUUCGGAUUAAUACCGCAUAAUCUAUUCGUAGUAAAGUGGGGGACUUUCGAGCCUCACGCUAUCAGAUGAGCCUGCGUAAGAUUAGCUUGUUGGUAGGGUAAAAGCCUACCAAGGCGACGAUCUUUAGCUGGUCUGAGAGGAUGAUCAGCCACAUCGGGACUGAGACACGGCCCGAACUCCUACGGGAGGCAGCAGUGGGGAAUAUUGGACAAUGGGGGCAACCCUGAUCCAGCAAUACCGCGUGUGCGAAGAAGGCCUGAGGGUUGUAAAGCACUUUCAAUUGUGAAGAAAAGUUAACGGUUAAUAACCGUUAGCCUUGACGUUAACUUUAGAAGAAGCACCGGCUAACUCCGUGCCAGCAGCCGCGGUAAUACGGAGGGUGCAAGCGUUAAUCGGAAUUACUGGGCGUAAAGCGUGCGUAGGUGGUUUAUUAAGUCAGAUGUGAAAGCCCCGGGCUUAACCUGGAACUGCAUUUGAAACUGGUAAACUAGAGUAUGGUAGAGGAAAAGUGGAAUUUCUGGUGUAGCGGUGAAAUGCGUAGAUAUCAGAAGGAACAUCAAUGGCGAAGGCAGCUUUCUGGACCAAUACUGACACUGAGGUACGAAAGCGUGGGUAGCAAACAGGAUUAGAUACCCUGGUAGUCCACGCCGUAAACGAUGAUAACUAGCCGUUGGGGGGGAUUUACCCUUUAGUGGCGAAGCUAACGCGUUAAGUUAUCCGCCUGGGGAGUACGGCCGCAAGGUUAAAACUCAANGAAUUGACGGGACCCGCACAGCGGUGAGCAUGUGGUUUAGUUCGAUGCAACGCGAAGAACCUUACCUGGUCUUGACAUCCUGCGAACUUUCUAGGAA